rnacentral:misc_RNA from 1 species
UCCGGUUUGUCACCGGCAGUCUCGCAUGAGUCCCCAGCUUCACCUGCUGGCAACAUGCGACGAGGGUUGCGCUCGUUGCGGGACUUAACCCAACAUCUCACGACACGAGCUGACGACAGCCAUGCAGCACCUGUGUUCCGAUUCCCUUUCAGGCACACCCACCUUUCAGCAGGCUCUCGGACAUGUCAAGGGUAGGUAAGGUUGUUCGCGUUGCAUCGAAGCAACGCGCAGAACCUUACCGACCCUUGACAUGUCCCGUGUGGAUUCCAGAGAUGGGAUCCUUCAGUUCGGCUGGCGGGAACACAGGUGCU